UACCAGCACCCCGAGUGGUCGGGACGAUUAUUGGGCCUAAAGCAUCCGUAGCCGGUUUUACAAGUCCUCCGUUAAAUCCAGCUGCUUAACAGAUGGGCUGCGGAGGAUACUAUAAGACUAGGAGGCAGGAGAGGCAAGCGGUACUCAGUGGGUAGGGGUAAAAAUCCGUUGAUCCAUUGAAGACCACCAGUGGCGAAGGCGGCUUGCCAGAAUGCGCUCGACGGUGAGGGAUGAAAGCUGGGGGAGCAAACCGGG
rnacentral:rRNA from 1 species